rnacentral:rRNA from 1 species
AUUGAACGCUGGCGGCAUGCCUAACACAUGCAAGUCGAACGGAGGUAGGGGCAACUCUACUUCAGUGGCGGACGGGUGAGGAAUGCGUCGGAAUCUACCCUAUGGUGGGGGAUAACACAGGGAAACUUGUGCUAAUACCGCAUAAUGUCGAGAGACCAAAGCAGGGGACCGCAAGGCCUUGCGCGAUAGGAUGAGCCGACGCCCGAUUAGCUAGUUGGUAGGGUAAAGGCCUACCAAGGCGACGAUCGGUAGCUGGUCUGAGAGGAUGAUCAGCCACACUGGAACUGAGACACGGUCCAGACUCCUACGGGAGGCAGCAGUAGGGAAUAUUGGACAAUGGGGGCGAACCCUGAUCCAGCCAUGCCGCGUGAGUGAAGAAGGCCCUCGGGUUGUAAAGCUCUUUUGUCCGGAAAGAAAAGCAAUCGGUUAAUACCCGGUUGUUCUGACGGUACCGGAAGAAUAAGCACCGGCUAACUUCGUGCCAGCAGCCGCGGUAA